UACAGAGGGUGCAAGCGUUGUUCGGAAUUAUUGGGCGUAAAGGGCGCGUAGGCGGUGCGGUAAGUCUGUAGUGAAAUCUCUGGGCUCAACUCAGAGUCUGCUGCAGAAACUGCCGUGCUUGAGUGUGGGAGAGGUGAGUGGAAUUCCCGGUGCAGCGGUGAAAUGCGUAGAUAUCGGGAGGAACACCUGUGGCGAAAGCGGCUCACUGGACCACAACUGACGCUGAGGCGCGAAAGCUAGGGGAGCAAACAGG
rnacentral:rRNA from 1 species